rnacentral:antisense_RNA from 1 species
AAACCCGCUCCUCAGCUCGUGAAUAGUCAACGAGGCCUUUCUGGGCGGGACCAGAGGUUUCCUCAUGAAUAAUUCAUGACCCGUUCACGGCUGGCCGGGGCGACCGGCCUCGCUAGACUUCAUGAAUAUGCAAAGCAGGGGCGAGCGGCGGCUAGCCGGCCCCUAGCCCGCCCGGCCCCUCAGCAGCCGCCUCUCAGCCACUGGCUGCACACUGACCCGACGCGACCUUCUCUCGGGGGCCGCCAGCCUGGGCCACCUGUACAACGACAGCCUGCUCCGGGGCUUCCUGAGGAGGUGCCUGCCCGCCGAGGUUCAACAGCUUCGGAGAGCAGGACAUCUUUUCCUCUCAGCCUGGCCCUCUGCAAUAGAGGCCAUAAACAGGCCAGUAGUGAAAGCUACAGGACAUGUGAGCAUGGCAGGGGCUGAGCUCCAUUUUAAGGCUUGUAAGGACCCUUGUGAUUACAUUGGUCCUACCCAGAUUACCUAGGAUAAUCUCCCAUCUCAAAGUCCUCAUCUUAAUCCCAUCUGCAAGGUCCCUUUUGCAAUUUAAGAUAACAUAUUCAACAGGUUCCAGGAAUGAGAAUGUGGACAUCUUUGGAGAGCCAUUAUUCUGCCUACCACAGAUAGAACCUGGCCGUUACUACCAAGGGUUGGAAUGAGGAUCAUUCUGGGACUGCUGCAAGAGGCUGGAAACUGGAACCAAGUGCUACUUUCAUGGUAACAAGC